rnacentral:rRNA from 1 species
UACGUAGGGGGCAAGCGUUGUCCGGAUUUAUUGGGCGUAAAGAGCGUGUAGGCGGCCUUACAGGUCAGCUGUGAAAACUCGAGGCUCAACCUCGAGACGUCGGUUGAAACCGUAAGGCUAGAGUCCGGAAGAGGAGAGUGGAAUUCCCGGUGUAGCAGUGAAAUGCGUAGAUAUCGUGAGGAACACCAGAGGCGAAGGCGGUUUCCUGGACAGUUACUGACGCUCAGGCACGAAAGCAUGGGGAGCAAAAGGG